rnacentral:rRNA from 1 species
GGCCUAACACAUGCAAGUCGAGCGGAUCCUUCGGAGUUAGUGGCGCACGGGUGCGUAACGCGUGGGAAUCUGCCCUUGGGUACGGAAUAACUCAGAGAAAUUUGUGCUAAUACCGUAUAAUGACUUCGGUCCAAAGAUUUAUCGCCCAAGGAUGAGCCCGCGUAAGAUUAGCUAGUUGGUGAGGUAAGAGCUCACCAAGGCGACGAUCUUUAGCUGGUCUGAGAGGAUGAUCAGCCACACUGGGACUGAGACACGGCCCAGACUCCUACGGGAGGCAGCAGUGGGGAAUAUUGGACAAUGGGCGAAAGCCUGAUCCAGCAAUGCCGCGUGAGUGAUGAAGGCCUUAGGGUUGUAAAGCUCUUUUACCCGGGAUGAUAAUGACAGUACCGGGAGAAUAAGCUCCGGCUAACUCCGUGCCAGCAGCCGCGGUAAUACGGAGGGAGCUAGCGU